UAAAAUUGUUGUUACAGUGUCCAAACCCCAUAUCCAUUUUCAAAGCUCUUCUCACUCAACCUCCCAGUCCCCUUGCUUAAACCUCAAAAUCUGAAGUUUUAAACUCCAUGGUUGUUCUUGGUUUACCCUCUGUACUUGACUCUAGAACGAAUAACAUAAUACCCACCAAAUGAUUUGGUCUUUUCUGCAGAUUUUAUGAGCUGGGUAGCUAGUCGAAUAAGAAAUAGCAUCUCUUUCAGCAACUUGGCUUUACCAAGAUGGAGGACUGAGGGGUACAGUUUAUGCAGAUAGCUUCGUUAAUGGGAAGCCAAGUUGCAGUAAUCUGCAGGCAUUAUUUGUAGGUUCAUUUCCAGCUGGAAUAUUGCAAGUUCAAUUUGGCUUUAAAGCACUUCUGAAGGCUCCAUUACUUCCUUGCAUAAAGUGUGAGAAGAAGGAUGAAUACUUCGAACAUGUAUCUGUUGAACAUCCUCCUUACCAUGGUUACAUCUGGGCAACUUGAACUAGCAUUUAGUGCUUGUGCUAGUAUUCCAGGACAGGGGUACUGGCCAGAAGGCACCGCCGAUCAAGUUAGGGCUGCCAGGCUCCUGAACCAACGGGCACAUCAACAGGAUCUCCAUCUUAAGGUGAAAGGCCUGGAAGUAGGAGGAAAAAGUGUAGAACAUCAGCCACUGCUCCUGAAUAUUCUGAAGUGACUAUAGAAGCUCCAGAGGCUCCUUAAACUCUCGACGAGACAAUGGAAGAACCUAAAGAUGUCUCAUCAGAUUAUGUGGUUUAUCAGACAGAACCUGAGGAUGAACAAGAAACUGGUUAUGAUUUAGACAGCAAACUGGGACGCCCUCAUUCCUUUAUUGAUCCAAAAGUGAAGAAGCCAAUAGAGGGGACACUUACAAGUGAAGAGUCAUGGUGGAACUGGAGAAAGCCAGAGAAGGAGCAAUGGUCCAGAUGGCAAAGGAGGAAACCUUAUGUGGAAACAGUUUUUCUCAAAGCAAUGACUGGAACUGGGCAAGUGAAGCUUUAUGGUGAGACUCCAACAUUGACAGAGACUGCUCUUUACAGAGCUAGAAAACAUCUUUUUAAAGAAGGCUUCGAGUUGAACAAGAGAGACUGGAAAGAAUAGGUCAUAUGGCAUAUUACUCAGAAUAGGUAAAAGCAAAGAAAGGAGACAACUUAUGUGAAGCUAUUCAGAAGCAUUUUGAAGAGACUAGAGAAGACAAGAACACCCAACAAAUUGAAAUGUUCUGCCAUCAAACAGAUUGAGAAUACCGCAUAAUGAUGGGGACAGAUAUUCAUAUUCAUAGGGAUCCUUUAGCAAUGCGAAUGCGGGAGGAUCUAAUAAAGCAAAGUAUCUUAUUCAAACCUGAUUUCUUUGUGCAUUUUUUCUGUGUUUUUUAUAUGUGAUUUAUUUGAAUUAUCAUCUCAAUCUUGACUGGAAUAUUAUAUAUUAUAACAACGUUGCUGAUUGUUUCUAACCUCCCUCCUUUCUUAAACCUUUUGUAAUUACAUGUCUAUAUUCUAAUGAUCUCAAUAAGAAACAUGGCGUUGUUUUAAUUA